rnacentral:lncRNA from 1 species
AGCCCAGAACCACUGCCUACAAACCACCCUCUCCUGACCCUGAAGAACUGUGGUAAGAACUGCACUUUCUGAUGCAAACUCCCUGCUGCCCUGCAGGACCAGUGUUUUUGAGGGGGUCCCAAGGGGCCGGGUGUGGAGCUAGUGUGAGCAGGUGUUGAACCCAAAGGGACACACCAGGGAUCGUAAAUGUUUAUGUUGUCAGUGACAUGGGUGUAUGACAGGAGCAGUCCUCUUGCGCAUGCUCUGCUGGGUCUCUGUCCCUAAAGGAACAGAAUGUAGGUGUGAGUGGAUUUGUUUAAAAAAAAAGAGUGGGCCAGGCGUGGUUGUCCGGGCCAGUCUCUGCCCUUAAUUUGGAUUCUGGAAUGGAAAC